rnacentral:rRNA from 1 species
UGGGGAAUAUUGCACAAUGGGCGCAAGCCUGAUGCAGCCAUGCCGCGUGUGUGAAGAAGGCCUUCGGGUUGUAAGGCACUUUCAGCGAGGAGGAAGGUGGUGAGCUUAAUACGCUCAUCAAUUGACGUUACUCGCAGAAGAAGCACCGGCUAACUCCGUGCCAGCAGCCGCGGUAAUACGGAGGGUGCAAGCGUUAAUCGGAAUUACUGGGCGUAAAGCGCACGCAGGCGGUUCGUUAAGUCAGAUGUGAAAUCCCCGGGCUCAACCUGGGAACUGCAUUUGAAACUGGCAAGCUAGAGUCUCGUAGAGGGGGGUAGAAUUCCAGGUGUAGCGGUGAAAUGCGUAGAGAUCUGGAGGAAUACCGGUGGCGAAGGCGGCCCCCUGGACGAAGACUGACGCUCAGGUGCGAAAGCGUGGGGAGCAAAACAGGAUUAGAUAACCCUGGUAGUCCACGCUGUAAACGAUGUCGAUUUUGGAGGUUGUGCCCUUGAGGCGUGGCUUCCGGAGCUAACGCGUUAAAUCGACCGCCUGGGGAGUACGGCCGCAAGGUUAAAAACUUAAAUGAAUUGACGGGGUCAUAGCUG